AAUUCUAAUUACAAGUCAUUUUGACAGUUUUGCAGCACUGCACAAAUAUGCACGCGUUAUAUACCGUAAUAACUGGGAUAGAAUAUUCAAUCAAAGUUCUGAACGGAGAUAGAAUUAACAAUUGAUAUUAUUAACGUUUUGACCGUCUUCCAUUAAUCAACGUUUUUGAGGUGUGUUUUGUUAUUGUUUUAAUUAAAAACGGAUAUAAAUAUAUGCAUGGUAUGCACAGUGGCGUAUAAAAAUCUACAUAUGUACAUACAACCCCUAUUUUCGUGGUUCUGAAAGUAUUAAAACUUAAAAAAAAAAAAAAUGUGUUCAUACAGUAUUAUUAUAUUAUACAUUCUAAUCGUAUUAAACUAAAAAAAAUUACAUAAAACAACAAAGUUAUGGACGAAAAACUCAAACAUUAGGGAUUUUCACACAGCGUUGUUAUCUGUUAUUCGAUAAACUUUUACAUGUAUUUUGUAAAUUUAACAAAACGCCAGCAUAAAGAAUAACACUUUACCGUGCCAGGAUCCUGACAAAUUGCUCGUUACUUGGUAAAAACAGUAAUCAGCUGUUUUAUGCUUAGUGCUUUGUCAGUUGUAUUGUAAAUAAUUGAUUGAAAAACAUCUGCUGAGUUACCAAAUUUAGUAGAAUCGAUGCCAAAGCGACUUCAAACAGUUAUAGUAGCUGUAAACGGAGGCCUAACUAAAUCUUAAAAUGCAUUAAUACCUGGAAUGGAGUGAAGUGUUUGUACUGAAAUAUGUUAUAUACAAGAAGCGUUCCAAAGGAAACAGGUCCCCUGGUGGCGCCAUCUAUAUGUCGACUGGUGUGUUAGAAUCUGCUAUCUUUAUCGAUUGUCCAGUAAGAAUUUCAUGACAUUUCAUGGAUUGGAAGUGAAGUUAUUGUUUUAAGUGUCAGUAUGUUUGUGUUAUCGGUGCGAAAAUGAGCUUCGAACAAAGAGCCAACAUUAAAUUUUGUUUUAAAAUUGGUAAAACUUAUAUCGAAACGUUUCAAUCGAUGAAACAUGUUUAUGGCAAUGAUUGCCUGUCCCGUAGCAGAGUGCACGAGGGGUUUCAACGUUUUCAAAGUGGUCGUAAGGACAUAAAUAACGAUCAACAUGUGGGCCAAUCAAAAUCCGUGUUCACCGGAAAGUCCAUCGAAACUGUGCGUGAAUUCAUCAAAAAUCAGCCGAAAUCAUCAUUGAAAUUGAACAUCUCCAAAAAUCGAUUUAUCGCAUUUUGACCGAACAUUUGGGCUUACGAAAGGUGUGUGCACGGUUUGUUCCGCACAAAUUGACUGACGACCAAAAAUUACUCUCAUCGAUCGACGCUUGUGACCGAUUAUUUGACCAAAAAUCACAUUUUAACCAUUUACCACCCACCGUAUUCAUCUGAUAUGGUACCGUGCGACUUCUUCCUUUUGGGAAAAAUGCAUUUGCCCAUGAAAGGAAAGCGUUAUGUAGACGUAGAGGCCGCUCAAAAGGCUGGCGGCCAUACCGACCAACGAGCUAUAACACUCGUUCGGCAUGCUUUUGGACCGUGCAAAAAGCUGUACUGCAGCGGAAGGAGACCAUUUUGAUAAAAUAAAUUGAUUUUACCGAAAAACCA